rnacentral:rRNA from 1 species
CUCGGGUUGAUCCGGCCGGACCUGACUGCUAUCGGAUUGGUACUAAGCCAUGCGAGUCGUUGUAGCAAUACAAGGCGGACGGCUCAGUAACACGUAGUCAACCUAACCUAUGGACGUGGAUAACCUCGGGAAACUGAGAAUAAACCGCGAUAGAUCAUUAUGCCUGGAAUGGCUUAUGGUUCAAACAAUUUAUUGCCGUAGGAUGGGACUGCGGCCUAUCAGCUUGUUGGUGAGGUAAUGGCCCACCAAGGCUAUAACAGGUACGGGCUCUGAGAGGAGAAGCCCGGAGAUGGGUACUGAGACACGGACCCAGGCCCUAUGGGGCGCAGCAGGCGAGAAACCUUAGCAAUGUGCGAAAGCACGACUGGGUCAGUCCGAGUGAUUCCUGAUAAAGGAGUCUUUUAUCUGUCCUAAAAGCACAGGUGAAUAAGGGGUGGGCAAGUCUGGUGUCAGCCGCCGCGGUAAUACCAGCACCUCGAGUGGUCAGGACGUUUAUUGGGCCUAAAGCAUCCGUAGCCGGCUCUGCAAGUCUUCGGUUAAAUCCACCUGCUCAACAGAUGGGCUGCUGGAGAUACUACAAAGCUAGGGAGUGGGAGAGGCAGACGGUAUUCAGUGGGUAGGGGUAAAAUCCUCUGAUCCAUCGAGGACCACCAGUGGCGAAGGCGGUCUGCCAGAACACGUUCGACGGUGAGGGAUGAAAGCUGGGGGAGCAAACCGGAUUAGAUACCCGGGUAGUCCCAGCUGUAAACGAUGCAAACUCGGUGAUGCAUUGGCUUAUGGCCAAUGCAGUGCCGCAGGGAAGCCGUUAAGUUUGCCGCCUGGGAAGUACGGACGCAAGUCUGAAACUAAAGGAAAUGGGCGGGGGAGCA